rnacentral:tRNA from 10 species
UGGAGAAUUGUGUAAGGGUAGCACGACAGACUCUGACUCUGUUUGUGAGGGUUCGAAUCCUUCUUCUCCAACCA